GUGAUGAGAAGUUAUGGUACAGCUGGAGAGCUCUUAGUGGCAUAGAUGGCUCUAAUCUGCACCACAGCAGCAAUUUUAUGAUAGAAAGCUCUGGGUAUCCAUUGUUGUUAUUUGAUUUGGUGCAUUUCAGCUGUUGAUUGAAAGGAGAGCCUAAACUGGGCUGCAAACUGAGAAAGGGAAUUACGAAAUGCUAUUCCAAAAGUUCUGGUAGGGGCUGUGAGUAUUUGGCCAACUUUUCCCAAUAACUGGAUUUAUUACACAGUAGUGUCACUGACAACAGCCCCCAAAAACAGCCUUACUGUGAACCAAGAUGAGAUGGCUGCCUUGGGCAACAGAUUAAGGGUGCUGGCGUGGAUUAUAAGAUAUUGAACGUAUGCUUCAGAUCCCCGGUCCAAGAGCCCAAACAAAUGGUCCAAGCAGAUAUUGCAGGUCGCUUUGAGCACUAUUGACUUAAGGACUCCAUCUUCAAAGCACUAGGUCUUGUUCGGCCGGAGCUGGAGAACACAGACGUGCUUAUGGAUCCUCUGAAUAUAUUGAAAAUAAAACGUGGUUUAGACCUACGGAUGUUUCUUUCUUCUUGCUGCAAAAUGCCAGAAGACUUUCGUGCACUUUUCCAAGGAGGAGUGUCGCAGAGAGGCACUCUGGAGUGAAUGGGAAUGCCAUUGCAGAGA